AAUCUGAUAUAAGUACCAAAAUCUAGUGUUUCAGAUUGCUAUAGUUAAAGUUUUGUUUGAAAUUCGUUUAUAGAGUGGAAAGAGCUAUUGGAAGUAUGGAUGCAAAUGAAGAUGGUUUGUUAGAUCUUUGACUCUUCAUUUUGAAUCAAUCUAGAUUACAAUGCUUCCUGUUGCCAUUAUAAUUUGCCAGGGAAAGAAAGAAUAUGCUCUUUCAUUAUGAGUCUACUUCUACAGAAAUAUGAUGAUAUUCUAUGACACUGACUCAGGGUUGAAGAAGAAAGCUAUGCAGACAUGCACUAUCUAGAGAGGUUAUGCUCAAUCAUUGUCGCAAUUAUUGCAUGGAGCCUGUAGAUCAUUUUAGGCCUACAGAAUCCCACAUGGUGCGGCGCUACACUGCCGUCAACAUGCUACCUCACGAUCCCCCAUCAUAGUACCUUCACUACCACGGCCACUGUUACUGGCCUGUCACCUUCUAGAUUCGCCACCGUAACCAUUUCUUACAUACUGUUAUUUAUAUAUAUAUAUCAUGACAAAUUUCGUUUGCUGUUCCUUAUGAUCCACAAUCCAUGUUUGUUAUUAUUAUUACAAUUAUUAUUAAGAAUUGAAGCUGCAAAGUGGGGGAAAGAGAAAGAAAGACUUACCUGGAGCUGCUACUUAAAGACCAAGACGAUGGUGAUGGAGGGCUGGCUAACCAAUGUUACUUUCUUCCCCUCUACUUCUGUUUUUCGUUCACUUCACCUCUGUUCUUGCUUUUCUCUGCUUGUUUUCUCUCUCUCUCUCUUUUUAUAUAUAUAUAUAUCUCUUGUUCCCUCUGUCUCUCCCUGUUAUUGUUCCUCUUUGUCUCUCUCUGUGUUAUCUGUGUUCCUUCAUUUUUUGUCUGUGUUUUUUUGUAUUAUUUGUUUGAGGUUCUCCCCUUCUUUGUGGCUUUUCUCUGUUCGUCCUGGUUUCUCUGGGUUUGUAUUUGGUUGGUUGGAUCAACAACCUACGGUAAGGGGAAGUUGAAGUUCCCUUUCGCUGGAGUAAGGUCACAAGUCUCUCUGUCUUCUCUCUGUCUCUGUUUUUCUUCCCGCCUGCCUCGUCGUCUCUGUGUGUUGUGGUCUUAUAGGGCAAGAGAAUGCCCCUUCAUCUCUCCCAGGAUAGUGUGGAGAUUAGCACGGUUCAGUCGUGCAUGA